GUAUUUUUAUUCAGCGUAUAAUGGAAUGGGGUAUUUGCAUGUCAAGGGCUAUGAAGUGGAAAAGAAAAAUUACACCACAGAAAAAGAGUACUUUGGGAAGGCGGCUGAUAAUGAAGAGGCUAGUGGGCAUUAUAACCUUGGAGUAAUGUAUCUUAAAGGGAUUGGAGUGAAGAGAGAUGUGAAGUUAGCAUGCAAAUACUUUUUAGUGGUUGCCAAUGCAGCUCACCAGAAGGCAUUUUACCAGUUGGCAAAAAUGUUUCACAUAGGCAUGGGGCUUAAGUAUAAUCUACAAAUGGUAAAUUUAGUGCUAUUAGGGACCAUUUGUACCUUUGUAGUUAAUGCUAUUAUGGUAAAUUUAGUGCUAUUAUGGCUCUCAUCUCAACAUGACUAUGUAAUCUCACUUUGUUUUUUGAGUAUAGAGCCCAUUUGUACCUUUGUAGUUAA